rnacentral:rRNA from 1 species
UGGGGAAUUUUGGACAAUGGGCGAAAGCCUGAUCCAGCAAUGCCGCGUGUGUGAAGAAGGCCUUCGGGUUGUAAAGCACUUUUGUCCGGAAAGAAAUCCUUGGCUCUAAUACAGUCGGGGGAUGACGGUACCGGAAGAAUAAGCACCGGCUAACUACGUGCCAGCAGCCGCGGUAAUACGUAGGGUGCAAGCGUUAAUCGGAAUUACUGGGCGUAAAGCGUGCGCAGGCGGUUUGCUAAGACCGAUGUGAAAUCCCCGGGCUCAACCUGGGAACUGCAUUGGUGACUGGCAGGCUAGAGUAUGGCAGAGGGGGGUAGAAUUCCACGUGUAGCAGUGAAAUGCGUAGAGAUGUGGAGGAAUACCGAUGGCGAAGGCAGCCCCCUGGGCCAAUACUGACGCUCAUGCACGAAAGCGUGGGGAGCAAAACAGGAUUAGAUACCCUGGUAGUCCACGCCCUAAAACGAUGUCAACUAGUUGUUGGGGAUUCAUUUCCUUAGUAACGUAGCUAACGCGUGAAGUUGACCGCCUGGGGAGUACGGUCGCAAGAUUAAAACUCAAAGGAAUUGAC